CUUGAGCAGGAUCAGGGACAUCUGAUCCUAAGUCAAAGUCAGAAGACCAGCAUAAAACCCCAGAUGCGUUAUUGACCACACUCCAAGCAGGAAGAUUUUGAAGACUAACAGAUGUGCACUGGAGCUUGCCACACAGACUAUGCCUGUAUUGAACGAAUGACACUCAGAGACAAGGGGAAGCCGAAAAACAAAUGAACUGAAAGAAACAUAGGCCAAGAGAUAACUGCAUCACUGCAGUGCUGAUUGACCCUCCCUGGACUUGUGAGCAGACAGUACCCACAAAAGCCAUUCCAAUGGAUCCACUGAUUUCCUUAGCAGUACUCCCACCAGUUUGGGGUCCAUGAAAAUGAAGGCAACAAGUGGCCUGCCAGGCCAAAGCCACGUGCAGUGAUACCAUGCCAAAGCAAGAGUUCUGGAGACCCUUGGCAGCUGGAACACACUGAGGAGAUGGCUUGGACUGGAGCUCUCAAGAGAGAAACAGAAAGGAAACAAACAGAUUUCUUCUCAUUCAUAGUAGCACAAAGUCACCCUCAGCCUCCUACGUUUCUGUGAAAGGAAUUCAUAAUUGCAAAGAAGCCACAGAAUCACCCAUUCAAAGCAACGAGGAGGAUUCUUCAGUGUAAUCAUGAUCUCUGCCUAUUAGAUAACAUCAGGAUUUUUAAAAGCUAGGUGCAGGUAGCAUAUGUUUAACAUUAAAGACUGCCAUUGCAAUCAAAAUGUGGAAGUCUGCAAAGAAUAUCAGCACUCAAUAUUUACUUCUGACUUUGCUCUUA